UCAAAUCCUUUGCUUUCCCACUUCUCCCUCACAACCCAAUAAAUGUACAAUGACCAAUUAACUUACUGCUAAAAACGUGCCCCUUUUAUUGGUAACCGGGUGAUGGAGCAGAUCAAGGAAUAAACUGUUGAGAACAUCAGAAGUCCUCAAACAGAAUGAACGGCGUAAGUUUUAAUAUAGUCACAACAAUUUCUUUCUCCCUCAUAGAACUUCUCUUCUCUUCAUCAUCUCCUCUCCCAGUUUUUUUUUUUUUUUUUUUUUUUAUCUCUUUUCAUCUUCAUCUCCCUCAUAGAACAAUAGUUUACUCACACUCAUAGCCACCACUUCCAGCCACCACAUGAGGAUGAACCGUAAGAUUAUUUUCCUCUCUCAAAAUCAAAAUCUGGAAAUCAUUUGCAUCUCCAUAUGUUGGUUUCAACUCAUGCUUCAUUGGAUCUAAAUCCAAUCACUGAUUUUGAUAAGUUCGUGAGGUUUUCCAUAUGUUUGCAAUUCUGAUGCAAAUUUUUAAAUUUUGGCUCACACAUAAACUAUCAUCUAAUAGUGGAAUGUGACGUUGAAGCCCUAUUUGUGUUGAAUUGCUUGAAAGAUCCUGCUUAUAUGUAGCUCUUAAGGCUUAAGUGGCGUACCUAUCAUGUCGAGUACAGUCGAGAUGAGGUUUGUGCGAUAAGAACUGCAUCUUUUUGUGUUUUGUUUGACACAAGAUGUGUUUUCUGUUGAUUCUAUAAUAUUCAGAUUUUAUGUCGAACAUGUUAUAUGUGAUGUUGUGCAAGGUUUGUAAAAGCAACAAGAUUAUCAAUUGAAAUGAUAGGAUUUUUGCUAGAGGAUAAUAGUUGUAAAACAAAAUUGACAAUUGUUAUUUGAGUUAGUAUCUUAAUUCAUAUUCGAGUAUAGAAUUAGUUUUAUCAACAUUCAAAUCAGUUUUAGAAAAAAAAUAUUGCAACUCAUGCCUCUAUAUGUACCUUAAUGACGUUUCUGUUUAAAAAAUUAAACAAGUUUUGUUUGUAUUCAACUUAAAAAAUAUGGGGUAUUUGUUUUCUGAACUGCCAUUUUUAUAUGGAGGAGUGCUAGCAACACUCUCUAGAACACUCCCUCUAAUACUCACUCUCUUAUUGGUUUAAAUCUUUGUGGGUCUACACAUUGGAAAUAGAACGCACACAAAGUGGUGGGACAUACAUUUUUUUCAUUCAAUAGAAAAGUGAGUGUUAGAGAGAGUGUUCAAAAGUGAGUUUUGUUAGCAUUCCUCUUUUAUAUUAACAUAAAUAUAUGCCCAUUUUGUUCCAUUUGUAUGCAUAUAAGAUCUAUUUUUUGGCAGUUGUUACAAUGAUACGUGUAAUUAAUUUUAUUAUCAGACUAGCACAUUUGUACUGCUCAAUGCACUUAGCCAAAAAAUACAUAGAGCCACCAUGAAUGAGCAUAAACCAACUGAUGUAAACCUUAACUGAUGGUUCCAUAGCACAUCAGAAUUGCAACUACUAAUUUGAAUUCUUUGUUUGAUUGUAUUCUUUGCAACUACUAUAGUUAUUUGUGUUAACUAUAGUUUAUUCAAAUCAGUUUGUUCUAACCAUUUAUAUCGUUCAAAGUUUGUUCUAACUAUUGAAGGAGUUGAUUCCGAUAACAAGGACAAAGUUGGUGUAGCCGAUUCAGAUGUAACACCGAUUAGCAAGUCUUUGGAUGACAUUGAUGUAGGUGGGUUGUGAAGCAUUGAGCACAAAAGAACCAAAAUUGGUGUCUGCUUCAAAGGUAGAUGCAGUUGCUCCAGUUGUGACUUCGAACACUCCAAACUCCUUGGGAAAGAGAGCAGCUGAGAAUGUGGUUUCAGUUGUUGAUGUCGCUGAAUUUGAUGGAUCCACACCAAAAGAGCCAAAACUGGUUCGGUGUGAAGAUCGAAGCUGAGGAGUGAAGUCUUUUGCAAAAUUUUCAACUACCAGUAGUGUUGCUGAUGUCCAAGUCUGUUGUCCUUUCAUUCUGUUUUGUUUUGGUUUUUAAUUGUCGCGUUGAAAUCUUCGGUUGCAUUUUGUUGCCAUACUUAUUUCGUUUUUAUGUUUGACAUUCUGGAAUGUUUUUUUGGUUUGCGUCAAUGGCUUUUUUACUUUAACUGAAGACUUGAAUUAUCUAACGUGUUCUGAAAGUAGUAUGAUC